ACAAAACUUCAUCCUCACCGUCAAUUCUAAAUUCUCUCUUUAGCUCUCUAUCUUCUUUCUUCUUGUCUUUCUAAUAGUCUGAUACUUUUCUCCUUUUUCGUCUCUUUCUUCAUUUUGGUUAGCUCCAAGAAUGCCUAUAAAAUAGCUCUUCGAAAAUGCAUGAUUCAACUUUUAUUUCAGAAAAUCUAAUGCCAGCACCCACGCCUCUCUGCCUCCCAAAAAGACCGGAUUAGCAGGAUAUUGAUUUCGAGAUUAGAGAGGGUGUUGGUUUUAGGACAUAAAUUUUGGGAUUGGAGAAGCUUCUAAGUGGGUCAAGGGGAAGCAAUUGGAAGAAGUUGUGGCCAUUAAAAACAUAUAUGGGAUUGGUGGCAAAAAGAUAGCUUUUGUGGGACUAUUUGAACUCAAAUAAUUUUUUAUAAAGUUUGGAAGCUAAGAUAUCAUUUGUAUAUAAAUAGUUGUAAUUACUUUGUGAACAUCUUUAUUGCAUUUU